rnacentral:rRNA from 1 species
GACGAACGCUGGCGGCGUGCUUAACACAUGCAAGUCGAACGGAAAGGCCCUGCUUUUGUGGGGUGCUCGAGUGGCGAACGGGUGAGUAACACGUGAGUAACCUGCCCUUGACUUUGGGAUAACUUCAGGAAACUGGGGCUAAUACCGGAUAGGAGCUCCUGCUGCAUGGUGGGGGUUGGAAAGUUUCGGCGGUUGGGGAUGGACUCGCGGCUUAUCAACUUGUUGGUGGGGUAGUGGCUUACCAAGGCUUUGACGGGUAGCCGGCCUGAGAGGGUGACCGGCCACAUUGGGACUGAGAUACGGCCCAGACUCCUACUGGAGGCAGCAGUGGGGAAUAUUGCACAAUGGGCGGAAGCCUGAUGCAGCAACGCCGCGUGCGGGAUGACGGCCUUCGGGUUGUAAACCGCUUUCGCCUGUGACGAAGCGUGAGUGACGGUAAUGGGUAAAGAAGCACCGGCUAACUACGUG